UUAAAAAUACAACAAAUAACCAGUUAUCAAAAUCUGUAUCUGCUGUGCUACUGUUUUUCUAUGUUUUAGAUGGAUUACGAGGAAAGACAAAGGAAAAAAGAAGUGAAGACGUUUUAUUCCCUGUAGUUUUCUUAAACUGUGAAAACAACACCUUGGAAUAACCACAGGUCAAUUUUCCAGCAAUCAAGAUAUAAGUGACCUUGAAUGAGGACUAGGAGAGUUGGAGAGCCCUGAGCAAAGGAUCUUAUCUCAGAGGAGAUGAUUUCUCGGAAGUGUGCGGCAGCUGGGAGAACACCUAGUCCUUUUGUCUAUCCAGUGGAGGAUAGUUUAGAGGAAUAAGGCCUCCUUUGUGAAGAAAAGAGAGCAGAGAACGGCUAAGCAGCAGCCUGAAGAGCGGCUCCAGUGUUAACUUCUUAACAUUUUUUUUUUUUUUUUAAUUCUUCUUUUUAAGGGUAUCUGGGUAGGACAAUUAUGCACACUGCUCAGGUGUGAGAAUUACCUCAGUUCACAUUGCUUUUCUUUGUGGUUACAUUUCUCACCUCCACAGUUAAUAAGGUCCUAAUAGGAGCUGUAUUUUGAACCUUAUUCCCCUUGGCGUGUAAAUACCUGCCUUGCUACUCAUUGGACAGAUUCAAAAUGCAAACGUUACUGCUUACAAGAGAGGUUUUCUAGAAGAUUAUACAAAAUGUUCUCAUGCAUCCAAAUUACAUGAACUUGUAAGGGUCACUCAGCGAUGCUUAUUGAGAUGCAAAUUAAAAAUUCUGAAUGAGAAGUAAACAUGGCUCUCUUGGGGCAUUUGGAAGAGGUAAAUUGGAAGAGCGUCUUUCUGAUAGAUUUCCUCCAUGGUGUCAGCUACUGAGCCUCAUGAUUUCUGACCCUGUGUAUUUUGCCCUGACAAAAGAAGAACAAAUCUUUUAAUGAAACCAAUUCUGCAGAGUAUUCAGUAAUCUAGAGAUGACUGCUGCAUCAUGAGCUUCUCCUUCAGUGCUCCUUCUAACAAAGUUAAUAAUACUUAAGGACUCUACUGCAAACACCACUGGAAAAGCUUCAUCAGAAGUCUGUUGCAAGAUCUCAUGCAUGGUCAGAGAAACAUUAAGGAAGGAAAGUAUAUCUUUUGUUGUUGGUACCUUGUUAUGACAGGGAAAUCUGGACCUCCUAGUCUGCCUCUUGAAUUCUCUGGUUUCAGCUUUAAGCUCCAGAGAGUCCUGGGGAAGCUAAUGAAAGGAAGGGUAGGAAAAUAUAAGCGAAAGCAUGGUAACAGUCUAUUCUGUAGCACUUAAUUUACUCCUCUCAAGCACUAGGCAAGGAUUGAAAGGCCAAGUCACAGGAAAGACCGUUAUACUCUGAAUGGUUCUCUGAUCAUCACAUUUUAGUUUAGAAAUCACUGUAGUAUGAAGAGCAGUCAGUAAAAGACAAUUCUAGUUUAUAACCUCUCUUGUAAACUAGCAAUAUUACUUACUGAGACAGAAUUUAGUCCUUGACAUUCUCUGUCAAAAAUAAAACAUCAUUUACAUUAGGGUUUUUUUUKCAUAUCUUUUUCCUAGAUUAGCUAUCUUAACAGUGAACUAGGAUGGCAAUCAGACUGCCUGUGUAUCUAAACUUAAGAGGAGUUCGUUCUUAUGGGAAGUUCCUUUAGAGAAUCUUAACAAAUAUUUAAUUGAGAGUUGUUUGUGUACUAAUACAUCUUUUGAUGCAAAACUAUGUGUCUUCCUGGGAGUCAGAACUGGUUCUCAACAGCCAAUAAAAUGCAAUGAGAAAAAAAAAUACAUAUUCUGAGAAUAUAGCUUAAACACAAAACUUUCAUUCCUAGACUGAAGAAAAAUCUGACCUGGAAGCAAUGUUGGUAUAGCCCCACAUUUCCUUUAACAUAUCCCCUGAAGUGCCAUUGUACAUUGGACUGUAGGCUCUAUCUCUCCCCUAAUUCUAGUCAUAUCCUUAAUGUCUACAGCAACCUGAAUGUGAGCCAACAAUCUCAAUUGCUCGUGCAGAGGAGGGAGAGGAUUAGAUGUAAGGUUAAGCACCAGGGUAGUGUUAGGCAAGAGAGAAAGUGCAGUGUCCCGUGCGCCUGCAAAGAGCAUGCAGGAGGAAAUGCAGGGCUACACCAGCAUUGCUUCCAGCACAACUUUUUCCUUUGUGUCAGGAAAGUGGCUGGUGAUUAAGGUUCAGGCUUAACUCUACAAACAGCUGACCAUGACUUGCCAUCUCUCCUGAGAAACUGUUAUUCCCAAACUCCUUAAGAAAGACAGAUAGGUUAUUUUCCAGAUAUUUUUCAUUCAAAGUUUCCGUUUCCUGGUCCAAUCAACCUUAGGUUCACCAUUGCAUGAACUGCAGUAAUUCUAAAGAGAGAAGCUCUUAUUUAUGUCAGUAGGUGUUCUUCCAAAUAAGGGCUUUCAAAAUAUAAUGGAGUAUAGUAUUCAGAAGUGCUAUUGACCUUGUAAAGAGUUUGGGAGCAUCUUUUCUUCUGCCUCAAAGAACUGGAGUUCAAAGGACCUGAAGAUGACUCAUCCACUGGGUUUAGCACAACUCUUUACCUGUGGACUGUCUCCAAACUCAGCUCCAUCACAGAUCCAGCCUUCAGAAUGGAUGCAAAAAACGUGCUGGGCAAGCAAAUGGAGGGCAGGAAUAAAUCUUCCAAGUUGGAGUAUUUGGAUGAACAGCUUUUAUUU